rnacentral:rRNA from 1 species
AUUGAACGCUGGCGGCAUGCCUUACACAUGCAAGUCGAACGGCAGCACGGGUGCUUGCACCUGGUGGCGAGUGGCGAACGGGUGAGUAAUACAUCAGAACGUACCUUAUCGUGGGGGAUAACGCAGCGAAAGCUGUGCUAAUACCGCAUACGCCCUGAGGGGGAAAGCGGGGGAUCGAAAGACCUCGCGCGAUUAGAGCGGCCGAUGCCUGAUUAGCUUGUUGGUGGGGUAAAAGCCCACCAAGGCGACGAUCAGUAGCUGGUCUGAGAGGACGAUCAGCCACACUGGGACUGAGACACGGCCCAGACUCCUACGGGAGGCAGCAGUGGGGAAUUUUGGACAAUGGGGGCAACCCUGAUCCAGCAAUGCCGCGUGAGCGAAGAAGGCCUUCGGGUUGUAAAGCUCUUUUGUCAGGGAAGAAACACCGGCUCUAACACAGUCCGGGAAUGACGGUACCUGAAGAAUAAGCACCGGCUAACUACGUGCCAGCCGCCGCGUAA